CGUCAUGACUCAGAUCUUGGAGCUUGACAGGGGAAGUGUAGUUGCCACGGGCGCUCUCACAGACCUGACGGGGCUGCCAGCACCACAUGGCUUCUCCUCCGCUGAACAAGAAGAGCCAUUUGUGGAAACAGCUCUUCUCCAGCGAGCGCACUCACUCUUUCCACUCCCCGAUGGCGCUCGCCGUGUCCCAUGUCCUGCUCCCUCAGCUCAGUUCUCAUCCGUGGAUGUCUGUGAAAGGCAUUCUGGGAUGAUUCAGCCCCCCUCUCCCCCAUAACCCAGCACUGAAUGAAGACCUGAUUCACUCCACCCAACUCAACCCAGUUUCUCCGCAUGGCAGCACCGUGCCUUACUCAGCGUCCUCCUCCGUCAGGGUGGGGGGCUGCAUUACUGCAGACGGCGCUGGGGACAGAGUUCAGGAAGUGAGAAGUGUCUGAAUUUGAACACCAGAUAGUCCCUCACUGUAACAGUGCAGCCAAAACCACAUUUGACUACAUGCAACCGAAAAUACAGUUUCAGAAAUGACACAAAUAGCCUAACGCACCAAAAAUGGAAAUAUAUAUAUCUUUCCAUCCCUCUUGGGUAUGACACUGUAUCAUCAAAGGCUGAAUCAUGGCAUUUUAAUGGAUGGAAUAAAACCUAAAUAUGCCUAUCCUUA